CAGCAGCCACGGUAAAACGUAGGGCGCAAACGUUAUCCGGAAUUAUUGGGCGUAAAGAGCUCGUAGGCGGUUUGUCGCGUCUGCCGUGAAAGUCCGGGGCUCAACCCCGGAUCUGCGGUGGGUACGGGCAGACUAGAGUGAUGUAGGGGAGACUGGAAUUCCUGGUGUAGCGGUGAAAUGCGCAGAUAUCAGGAGGAACACCGAUGGCGAAGGCAGGUCUCUGGGCAUUAACUGACGCUGAGGAGCGAAAGCAUGGGGAUCGAACAGGAUUAGAUACCCGGGUAGUCCCUGUCUCUUAUAC
rnacentral:rRNA from 1 species